rnacentral:rRNA from 1 species
AGCAGCCGCGGUAAUUCCAGCUCCAAUAGCGUAUAUUAAAGUUGUUGCAGUUAAAAAGCUCGUAGUUGAAUUUCGGGAUCAAUUUGCUGGUCGUGCCUCUGGUACGUACUGGUAUUAUUGGUUUCUCCCUUCUGACGAACCAUGAUGUCAUUAAUUUGAUGUCGUGGAGAAUCAGGACUGUUACUUUGAAAAAAUUGGAGUGUUUAAAGCAGGCAUUAGCUUGAAUACAUUAGCAUGGAAUAAUGAAAUAGGACGUUUGAUCCUAUUUUGUUGGUUUCUAGGAUUGACGUAAUGAUUAAUAGGGAUAGUUGGGGGCAUUAGUAUUCAAUUGUCAGAGGUGAAAUUCUUGGAUUUAUUGAAGACUAACUACUGCGAAAGCAUUUGCCAAGGAUGUUUUCAUUAAUCAAGAACGAAAGUUAGGGGAUCGAAGACGAUCAGAUACCGUCGUAGUCUUAACCAUAAACUAUGCCGACUAGGGAUCGGAUGAUGUUAAUUUUUUAAUGACUCAUUCGGCGCCUUA